UCCGCGUGCCACAAGCGCUAAGCCUCUGGCAUCUCUCUUCCACCAUCACCUGCACCUGACAGAUUGGGGCUGUUCGGUUCGGCUAUGCAGCCCCUUGCUCCCCGGGGCCUGUGAUCUGGGUCAGAUCUCCAGAGACGUGGCCAGCUGGUGAGGUGCCGGGUGGCCCGGAUGGCCAGGACAGCUGGAGCUCAAGAGGCCAGCACAAAAUUUGCUGCAAAAUGCCGGCUGCAGGAGAAGGCUGGAUAUCUGCUCUGCAGGGUGUGUUCCCUCCCUCUGCUUACAGCAGACACACAAGGCAUUUUAAUCCCAAGAUGGAAACAGGAGGUAGAAGCCAAAUGAAGAGAAACCAGGUGCAUGGGGCAGACAGCAGAACAGGAGCAGGCAAUCAGCAAAUGCCCAGGGGACAGCAGCCACACCAUAGCCACUGCCAGCUGGAAGCCAUCAUCUGCUGGGGGCCCACGAGGGCCGCGGCACAGCUGGGCCAGCGGGCCCUGAUCACAUGGCUCAUUCCCCAGCAGCACAGAGCAUGAGGCGAGACACAGCUUUCCUGACAAGGCUAACUUCACAAGGUCAUGCUGCUGAGCUCACAGGCAAAUUUUCCAAAUGAUUUAGCUUGACUGAAAAGACAAAUCUGAUUGAUCUGAUCGGGAAUUCUUUAGUUUGAGUCCAAUUUUAGAAUUCUUGUGUAGGACACUAAGGUGAAAACAGCGUGUUGCUAUGGAACACAUCCAUCAAGUGCAGGCAACAUGCAAAGACGCAGAGUGUUUUCUCUGGCUAUCCAGAUCAGGUACAUAUUGUGUGUGUGUGUGUGUGUCUGUGUGUGUGUGUCUGUGUGUGUGUGUGUGUGUGUCUGUGUGUGUGUGUGUGUCUGUUUGCCUCUGUGUGUACACACACACCUCAGAAAGUAAGUGUUCAAGUCACUGGGAACAUCCACAUUAAACAGCUAAGAUAA